UUGCGUCCAAACUAGCACAGCAGCCUCAGUUUCUAGUACGCAUACUGCAACACCAUCCCCGCACAGUGAUCCUCACGACCUCAGUCCAUUGGCAGUACCUCUAGAGCCAUCGGACACAGUUCUCAGCACACACCAGCCUGAAGGUUCUGUUUCUGCUGCUGAGAGGCCGGGGCGUCCC